GCGGAAGUAGUUCAGUGGUAGAAUACAACCUUGCCAAGGUUGGGGUCGCGGGUUCGACUCCCGUCUUCCGCUCCA
rnacentral:tRNA from 2 species